UGCCUAAUAAUUCUGCACUCCCUGUAUGGUUAGAUAGUAAUGGUUGAAGCAUAUGUUAUUGAUUUGUUUAUAGCACGUUUUGGAAAUAUGUAUAUGUUUGUUAUGUGCUCUAAUGUAAUUGUAUGUUAAUGUUUUCACUUUGAUUAGUUAACCCCCAUACUCAGGCUAGUCCGGAUGCUCACCCGAGUAGGUAGAGUAUAAAAGGAAGCCAUUUUGUUUUUAGUGUUUGUGCUGUUAAUACGUGCCUUCUUUAAUAAAGUGCCAGUCUCGCGUCAUAUUAUUGGAAGGAACCCGUGACCGCUGGUCAAAAACUGACAGGGGGGUCAAGGUUGUGAUCUCAGUGAAGAGGUAGAUACGCAGAGACAGCAUGAGUAUUAGAGGGCGUGGCCUGAAGAAACGAGACAGGGUAUAUUACUGUGUUUAAACAUAUGUUAAAAGGUUAAAAAACUUGCUAAUUCAUGGUGUUUUUAUGUUAAUUCAGGUAAAAUGGCUAAAAUAUGUGUUCAGACUCUUAUUGUGAAAGGGUACGCUGUAGCGUGACUCCUGUGAUCAGCCACACCCAAUCGGGUUGUUCCUUCUUUUUGAUGCUGGAGAGGGAGAAAUGCAGAUAGUCGUUGCGGAGCUGCUGUCUAAACGAGUGAAAAAAAUAUUAAAAAACAAGUCAGAAGCCUACAUAAAGCCAUUUUUGUACUCUGGAGAAUAUAUUUUUUUUUUUCCGACCUGUCUUUGCCUUGGUGACGUUGUGAACGUAACCGAACGGGACUUGGCCAUUAAGGUUUGGAUCGGGAAAUGCCGAGCUAGAAUCGGAGUUUGAUCCGCUGAGCGAGAAACAAGAUGGCGAGCCACCCAGGGACCCAUUGAACUGUACCGAGCAGGAAAAAGGAAAACCGCCCCCUGCUGGACGUUGAACUCUUUCACUAAAAAACUGGUAGGAUUAAUCCAUACACCUCUGCAAAAGAACAGUGGACUUUCAAAGCACUGGAUAAUCGUUCAGAGCAAUUCCAGGAUUUAUAGUUAAAGGACACAGAGACAAUUUUCUUUUGUUUAUUUGUUUGUUUAAGGGAUUUGUUCAGCCUUUUGCUGAAUUGUUUUCAGUUUUUACAUGUUUUUGUAAUUUAUUUUGGUCAACCUUACAUUUUAAUGCUGUAAUGGUGUUAAUGGAAAUGUAAAUAAUUUUGUUGGGUUAAAACAAAAUAAGAACUGGUUGAAAUGUACAGGUGAACUUAGACCAAGAUUAAAUUAAAUCUUGGGCUUAAAAGAACUAAACUUGAUUUAAAAUAACACAGUGUUAAUUCAAAUAGAUCAAAGGAUAGACUUGAACUUAGAACUUGGAAUAAAUAAAACAAUAACCUAGGUUGAAAAUAACAUCCUUUUAAAGCCCAAUAAGAGGUUUUGAAAUAAAUAGGAUAAAUUAACAGAAAUUACUGAACUAAAAGGGAAAGAAAAUACCUCGUUUUCUUUAAAUGUGAAUUUGAAUGUUUUAUAUAAUGUUUGUCAACUGUCUAUUAUCUGUUUUUUUGCAAAAUAACAAGCCGGCAAUUUAAACUUA